rnacentral:rRNA from 1 species
AAGCUACUAAGAGCGAAUGGUGGAUGCCUUGACUGGUAAAGGCGAUGAAGGACGUACUAGACUGCGAUAAGCUACGGGGAGCUGUCAAGAAGCUUUGAUCCGUAGAUUUCCGAAUGGGGCAACCCAAUGUAUAGAGAUAUACAUUACCUAUAUAGGAGCGAACGAGGGGAAUUGAAACAUCUUAGUACCCUCAGGAAAAGAAAUCAAUAGAGAUUGCGUCAGUAGCGGCGAGCGAAAGCGUAAGAGGGCAAACCCAGUGCUUGCACUGGGGGUUGUAGGACUGCAAUGUGCAAGAGGUGAGUUUAGCAGAACAUUCUGGAAAGUAUAGCCAUAGAGGGUGAUAGUCCCGUAUGCGAAAAACAAACCUUAGCUAGCAGUAUCCUGAGUAGGGCGGGACACGAGAAAUCCUGUCUGAAGCUGGGUCGACCACGAUCCAACCCUAAAUACUAAUACCAGAUCGAUAGUGCACAAGUACCGUGAGGGAAAGGUGAAAAGAACUGAGGUGAUCAGAGUGAAAUAGAACCUGAAACCAUUUGCUUACAAUCAUUCAGAGCACUAUGUAGCAAUACAGUGUGAUGGACUGCCUUUUGCAUAAUGAGCCUGCGAGUUGUGGUGUCUGGCAAGGUUAAGCAAACGCGAAGCCGUAGCGAAAGCGAGUCUGAAUAGGGCGCUUAGUCAGAUGCUGCAGACCCGAAACGAAGUGAUCUAUCCAUGAGCAAGUUGAAGCUAGUGUAAGAACUAGUGGAGGACUGAACCCAUAGGCGUUGAAAAGCCCCGGGAUGACUUGUGGAUAGGGGUGAAAGGCCAAUCAAACUUCGUGAUAGCUGGUUCUCUCCGAAAUAUAUUUAGGUAUAGCGUUGUGUCGUAAUAUAAGGGGGUAGAGCACUGAAUGGGCUAGGGCAUACACCAAUGUACCAAACCCUAUCAAACUCCGAAUACCUUAUAUGUAAUCACAGCAGUCAGGCGGCGAGUGAUAAAAUCCGUCGUCAAGAGGGAAACAACCCAGACUACCAGCUAAGGUCCCUAAAUCUUACUUAAGUGGAAAACGAUGUGAAGUUACUUAAACAACCAGGAGGUUGGCUUAGAAGCAGCCAUCCUUUAAAGAAAGCGUAAUAGCUCACUGGUCUAGUGAUUUUGCGCGGAAAAUAUAACGGGGCUAAAGUAAGUACCGAAGCUGUAGACUUGAUUUUAUCAAGUGGUAGGAGAGCGUUCUAUUUGCGCCGAAGGUAUACCGGUAAGGAGUGCUGGAGCGAAUAGAAGUGAGCAUGCAGGCAUGAGUAGCGAUAAUUAAUGUGAGAAUCAUUAACGCCGUAAACCCAAGGUUUCCUACGCGAUGCUCGUCAUCGUAGGGUUAGUCGGGUCCUAAGUCGAGUCCGAAAGGGGUAGACGAUGGCAAAUUGGUUAAUAUUCCAAUACCAACAUUAGUGUGCGAUGGAAGGACGCUUAGGGCUAAGGGGGCUAGCGGAUGGAAGUGCUAGUCUAAGGUCGUAGGAGGUUAUACAGGCAAAUCCGUAUAACAAUACUCCGAGAACUGAAAGGCUUUUUGAAGUCUUCGGAUGGAUAGAAGAACCCCUGAUGCCGUCGAGCCAAGAAAAGUUUCUAAGUUUAGCUAAUGUUGCCCGUACCGUAAACCGACACAGGUGGGUGGGAUGAGUAUUCUAAGGCGCGUGGAAGAACUCUCUUUAAGGAACUCUGCAAAAUAGCACCGUAUCUUCGGUAUAAGGUGUGGUUCGCUUCGUAUUAGGAUUUACUCCGAAAGCGAAGAAACUUACAACAAAGAGUCCCUCCCGACUGUUUACCAAAAACACAGCACUCUGCUAACUCGUAAGAGGAUGUAUAGGGUGUGACGCCUGCCCGGUGCUCGAAGGUUAAUUGAUGGGGUUAGCAUUAGCGAAGCUCUUGAUCGAAGCCCGAGUAAACGGCGGCCGUAACUAUAACGGUCCUAAGGUAGCGAAAUUCCUUGUCGGUUAAAUACCGACCUGCAUGAAUGGCGUAACGAGAUGGGAGCUGUCUCAAAGAGGGAUCCAGUGAAAUUGUAGUGGAGGUGAAAAUUCCUCCUACCCGCGGCAAGACGGAAAGACCCCGUGGACCUUUACUACAGCUUGACACUGCUAUUUGGAUAAGAAUGUGCAGGAUAGGUGGGAGGCUUUGAGUAUAUGACGCCAGUUGUAUAUGAGCCAUUGUUGAGAUACCACUCUUUCUUAUUUGGGUAGCUAACCAGCUUGAGUUAUCCUCAAGUGGGACAAUGUCUGGUGGGUAGUUUGACUGGGGCGGUCGCCUCCCAAAUAAUAACGGAGGCUUACAAAGGUUGGCUCAGAACGGUUGGAAAUCGUUCGUAGAGUAUAAAGGUAUAAGCCAGCUUAACUGCAAGACAUACAAGUCAAGCAGAGACGAAAGUCGGUCUUAGUGAUCCGGUGGUUCUGUGUGGAAGGGCCAUCGCUCAAAGGAUAAAAGGUACCCCGGGGAUAACAGGCUGAUCUCCCCCAAGAGCUCACAUCGACGGGGAGGUUUGGCACCUCGAUGUCGGCUCAUCGCAUCCUGGGGCUGGAGCAGGUCCCAAGGGUAUGGCUGUUCGCCAUUUAAAGCGGUACGCGAGCUGGGUUCAGAACGUCGUGAGACAGUUCGGUCCCUAUCUGCCGUGGGCGUAAGAAGAUUGAAGAGAUUUGACCCUAGUACGAGAGGACCGGGUUGAACAAACCACUGGUGUAGCUGUUGUUCUGCCAAGAGCAUCGCAGCGUAGCUAAGUUUGGAAAGGAUAAACGCUGAAAGCAUCUAAGCGUGAAGCCAACUCUAAGAUGAAUCUUCUCUAAGCUCUCUAGAAGACUACUAGUUUGAUAGGCUGGGUGUGUAAUGGAUGAAAGUCCUUUAGCUGACCAGUACUAAUAGAGCGUUUGGCUUAUCU